rnacentral:rRNA from 1 species
GUGGGGAAUAUUGCACAAUGGGCGAAAGCCUGAUGCAGCAACGCCGCGUGAGGGACGACGGCCUUCGGGUUGUAAACCUCUUUUAGUAGGGAAGAAGCGAAAGUGACGGUACCUGCAGAAAAAGCACCGGCUAACUACGUGCCAGCAGCCACGGUAAUACGUAGGGUGCAAGCGUUAUCCGGAAUUAUUGGGCGUAAAGAGCUCGUAGGCGGUCUGUCGCGUCUGCUGUGAAAACUGGAGGCUCAACCUCCAGCCUGCAGUGGGUACGGGCAGACUAGAGUGCGGUAGGGGAGAUUGGAAUUCCUGGUGUAGCGGUGGAAUGCGCAGAUAUCAGGAGGAACACCGAUGGCGAAGGCAGAUCUCUGGGCCGUAACUGACGCUGAGGAGCGAAAGCGUGGGGAGCGAACAGGAUUAGAUACCCCAGUAGUCC